GGCCUUCGACAACUGUUGUGAAUGUACUCCAUGCAAUCACGGAAUUACAGCUUUCAUAUAAGUCCAUUCUGAAAGCUGAAGGCUGUUUUCUGAUAAAUGAUGAGGGGAGGCCCAACUUCGGUUUUGGAAUCUACAUGUAUGAGAUUCCUGAUCCCUGGGAAGGACCCUUGGUAGGAGUUGUUUGUGCUUGGUGUGAUGAGAGUCAGCCUUUAAUCCAGCAUACAGGAGGCUGAGGAAUGUGGAUCUCUGUGAGUUCAAGCUCUUGGUCUGGUUUCUGAGUCUCAGGGGCUCCUCAGGACCCUGUGCCCCUUAGGGGCCUGGGGGUCUUUCAUUUGUCGAGCCAGCCAGGAGUUCAGAGGAAACUCCAGACUCAUUACCACGACUAAGAGGAGGUAAGUCCGGCCGGCUUAUUUGGAUUUAUGUUUUCUGUUUGUCUGUCUAUUUGGAAGCCCUGUAUGGGCUAUGCAGGCUUUGUAGAGACUCACUAGGUAGACUGAUGAGUCAUUCCCCUCUGAGUCUGCCCCUGGAGGACGCUCCACAGGGAGUUUGGGUGGGCAAGGGUGAGCAGUCAACCCUCGUCCCUGGGAGUGGACUACGCAAGUCUCUGCUCCCCUUUUAAUUUGUGGUUUCGGUUUUUGGCACUGAUUUGCAGCUGUGUGGCCUUUGUUUGGCCUGAGUGUCUGUUUCAGUGUUUGUCCUUUGUCUCUUUUUGUUUUUCACCAUCUGACCAUCAUCGGACAACAACUAAUGACCCCCUUAAGUUUGACUCUAGACCAUUGGGGAGACGUUUGGGACCGAGCCAACAACCAGUCCCUGGACGUCAAGAAGAAAAAAUGGCAAACUUUCUGCAGUUCCGAGUGGCCAACAUUUAUGUUGGCUGGCCUCGGGACGGUUCUUUUAAUCUUGAGAUUAUUUUACAGGUAAAAGAAAAAAUGUUCGAUUCUGGACCCCCCACGGACACCCCGACCAGGUUUGUCUAACAUGGGGAUGUCUAAGAGAAUCAAAAAAA